UGAAAAAGACAACAUCAAAGAGUAUGUGGUGAGAAAGAGUCUCAUUAAUGUAGGCAAAGGAGCCAUUCGAAUUGUAGCAUAUAUGAUGACAUUGGUCCUGGAACUUUCUUCUGACAACAUGCCCUUUAUUCUCAUAUUCUAUUUUUUACCUGUCAUCUCCACUAUAGUAGACUGAGGGUUGUUUAUAGAGUAUCUUGGUAUUGGAUUAAGACUCUUGCUUUUAAUAUACAUCAAAGCUGGAAAAAAUGAUCUAUGUUCAAUUUAUCAAUCCAAAAAAAUACCAAUUACCCUAAAAUCACUAAAAAAAGGUGUUCUUACAAGCAUGUGGCAAGACAUAAGGAAGACUAGUAAGAAAGCUUUUACAAUAGUCCAAGUAAAGAUAAUGAAUUAAGCAAAGAAAAGACUAAGUUUGUGGGAAAUGAGAAGUUUUUUCAUGGAAAAUUCAAUAUAAUGAAAGUUAAUUCACUUCAAUUUAACUAUGUGAAGACCAGCCAAGUAUGAAUGUGCAGUUGAAGCAAUAUAAGCACUAACAGCAAAUGUGGAAAGAUCAUCACAAAAGUGCUGAUGUGAUGCUAAUGUGACCACUGACCUGAGGAACUUGUAAACUUGUGAGUUUGGUGAGAGUUAAAGAGUUUUUCAAAGAUAACAGCAUAUGUAAUUCUAUCAAGAUACUACUCCUCCAACCAACUUUUGUUCAGUGAAUUUCCCAACCCCUUCUAGAACUGCUGAAGGACCAAGGACAUUCACAGGUGGAAGGGGACAUGAUGUCUGUUGGGGCUGAUCCAGCAGUGGCUCCCGAAUGGAACAAGGACUCGUCUUCCUCUCCAAAUGUGAAAGUUGGGGGAAGGAAUUAUACCUCGGAGCUUCUCUGGAGCCUGGGAGUGAUCAGGAAGUAUAUCCGGUGGUGUCUAAAAAAGAUAUUCCACUGAAGGAAACAAAAUAUGCCAUUGAAGGAAUAGGCUUGAAUACUUUACCCCAAGUUGAUGAAUGAGGUUCUACACAAAUGACAUUCUUUAGUGUGAAAUAGUAAUGAACCAUAAGAUAUAGAAUCAUUUUCUUCAGCCCUGAACCACAGACCUGAUUGCUCCCUCAGGUUAAGAAAGAAGAAAAAAAGAACAGUUCAGCAAAACCAGCCAAUAUGCUGACAACAUGUAUGCAAUGAUUUACAGCCAUAAUCAAUCAAUCAAUAAAACAUUAAGUGCUCACUA